rnacentral:rRNA from 1 species
CCUACGGGUGGCUGCAGUCGAGAAUCAUUCACAAUGGGGGAAACCCUGAUGGUGCGACGCCGCGUGGGGGAAUGAAGGUCUUCGGAUUGUAAACCCCUGUCAUGUGGGAGCAAAUUAAAAAGAUAGUACCACAAGAGGAAGAGACGGCUAACUCUGUGCCAGCAGCCGCGGUAAUACAGAGGUCUCAAGCGUUGUUCGGAAUCACUGGGCGUAAAGCGUGCGUAGGCUGUUUCGUAAGUCGUGUGUGAAAGGCGCGGGCACAACCCGCGGACGGCACAUGAUACUGCGAGACUAGAGUAAGGGAGGGGGAACCGGAAUUCUCGGUGGAGCAGUGAAAUGCGUAGAUAUCGAGAGGAACACUCGUGGCGAGGGCGGGUUCCUGGACAUUAACUGACGCUGAGGCACGAAGGCCAGGGGAGCGAAAGGGAUUAGAUACCCUUGUAGUC